UACAGAGGUCCCAAGCGUUGUUCGGAUUCACUGGGCGUAAAGGGUUCGUAGGCGGUCGGGUAAGUCUGACGUGAAAUCCCGCAGCUCAACUGCGGAACUGCGUCGGAUACUAUUCGGCUUGAGGAAUGGAGGGGAGACUGGAAUUCUCGGUGUAGCAGUGAAAUGCGUAGAUAUCGAGAGGAACACCAGUGGCGAAGGCGAGUCUCUGGACAUUUCCUGACGCUGAGGCACGAAAGCCAGGGGAGCAAACGGG
rnacentral:rRNA from 1 species